AUGAACGCUGGCGGCGUGCCUAAUACCUGCAAGUCGAGCGAACAGAUAAGGAGCUUGCUCCUUUGACGUUAGCGGCGGACGGGUGAGUAACACGUGGGUAACCUACCUAUAAGACUGGAAUAACUCCGGGAAACCGGGGCUAAUGCCGGAUAACAUUUAGAACCGCAUGGUUCUAAAGUGAAAGAUGGUUUUGCUAUCACUUAUAGAUGGACCCGCGCCGUAUUAGCUAGUUGGUAAGGUAACGGCUUACCAAGGCAACGAUACGUAGCCGACCUGAGAGGGUGAUCGGCCACACUGGAACUGAGACACGGUCCAGACUCCUACGGGAGGCAGCAGUAGGGAAUCUUCCGCAAAGGGCGAAAGCCUGACGGAGCAACGCCGCGUGAGUGAUGAAGGUCUUCGGAUCGUAAAACUCUGUUAUUAGGGAAGAACAAAUGUGUAAGUAACUGUGCACGUCUUGACGGUACCUAAUCAGAAAGCCACGGCUAACUACGUG
rnacentral:rRNA from 1 species